UUAAUUAUUAUUUUUAAUAACUCAGACAACAUCAUUACAAAGAUUUUUGUUGGGCUUCGGUGGGCAUUUUAUAGCCCACCGAAGCAACAAUAAAACGCUUGGUAGUAUACAAGGGGUUGGAGAUUGGGCCAUAAGACCCUAACUCGGUAAUGAUCCUUCCGCAGGUUCACCUACGGAAA
rnacentral:misc_RNA from 1 species